rnacentral:rRNA from 1 species
AUUGAACGCUGGCGGCAUGCUUUACACAUGCAAGUCGAACGGUAACAGGCCGCAAGGUGCUGACGAGUGGCGAACGGGUGAGUAAUGCAUCGGAACGUGCCCAGUCGUGGGGGAUAACUACUCGAAAGAGUAGCUAAUACCGCAUACGAUCUAUGGAUGAAAGCGGGGGACCGUAAGGCCUCGCGCGAUUGGAGCGGCCGAUGUCAGAUUAGGUAGUUGGUGGGGUAAAGGCUCACCAAGCCAACGAUCUGUAGCUGGUCUGAGAGGACGACCAGCCACACUGGGACUGAGACACGGCCCAGACUCCUACGGGAGGCAGCAGUGGGGGAUUUUGGACAAUGGGCGCAAGCCUGAUCCAGCAAUGCCGCGUGCAGGAAGAAGGCCUUCGGGUUGUAAACUGCUUUUGCACGGAACGAAACGGCUCUGGUUAAUACCCGGGGCUAAUGACGGUACCGUAAGAAUAAGCACCGGCUAACUACGUG